AGUAAGAUGGCUGAGUUAAGCGGUGGAUUGUAAAUUCAUUUACGAGGUAGUUUCCUCUCUUACCAA
rnacentral:tRNA from 1 species